CGGGGCAUAGUAUAGUGGCAGUACGUCUGCUUUGGGAGCAGGUAGUCUCGGUUCGAUUCCGAGUGCCCCGA
rnacentral:tRNA from 1 species